UACGGAGGGUGCAAGCGUUAUCCGGAUUCACUGGGUUUAAAGGGUGCGUAGGUGGGCAGGUAAGUCAGUGGUGAAAUCUCCGAGCUUAACUCGGAAACUGCCAUUGAUACUAUCUGUCUUGAAUUAUCUGGAGGUGAGCGGAAUAUGUCAUGUAGCGGUGAAAUGCUUAGAUAUGACAUAGAACACCAAUUGCGAAGGCAGCUGGCUACACGAAUAUUGACACUGAUGCACGAAAGCGUGGGGAUCAAACAGG
rnacentral:rRNA from 1 species